GGAAGUGAACGGCUCAGUUUCCGGCCAGGGGUCCCGGGGAAAGCCGACCCGGACCCCAAGGCGCGUAUCGGGCGAGUGGGCUCGCGGUGGCGGCCUAGCCCACAGCGUCCGAUUUGCUGGGGGCCUCCCGAGCCUGGAGACUGAGUGACCCACCCCUCCUGCCUAAGGGACGCUAUCUUCAAGAACCGGAAGAGACCACUCCCACCCCCACCCCGCCCCUGCUUUCGCUCUUCUCUGCAAUGGGGUCUCCGAAAGGAGAAGACUGCAGCCCUGUGACCCUGGAGGUUUGCGCUCUCCUAUGCUGUCUCAAAAAACUGCCUCCUUCUAGGCAAGGGCUUCCAAACCCUCAUCCUGAUCUCACCUUCAGCCUUACCCGCCAGCUAUGAUCCACUCGACUGUGAACUUAAACUCGGCAUAGCCUAAAACAAGCCCAAACUUCUCACCCGUUUUCACUCCUAGGCUUGAGAGCUCAGUAUGUAGAGUUCCUCACUUCCUCAUCCCUCCAGCCUCUCAAAUCUAUCACCCCUUCUCCGUGGCCACCGUUUCAGCCAGAUCUUUGCAUUCCAAACACAACAGAAAGUAGGAAGUGCCCUCUCAAAGGUGGGUCUGCUGAACCUCUGCUGAUACUCUCUUUGCAGCAAGUCAUCUGACCUCCCUCCUCCAGAGACUCAGCCCUCUGCCCCCCGCCUGGACCCCUGUGUCAGUACCUCUUGAAUGGCCACUUCUGCCCAUGGACAAGAAAGGGAGGGAGUCUGAGUUCUUACCAAGCUCCUCAGGCCAUUCUGAUGCUCAUCAAAGUGUGGGAAAGCCCGGUGGCUCACGCCUGUAAUCCCAGCACUUUGGGAGGCUGAGGCGAGUGGAUCACCCGAGGUCAGGAGUUUGAAACCAGCCUGACCAACAUGGAGAAACCCCAUCUCUACCAAAAAGUACAAAAUUAGCUGGGCAUGGUGGUGCAUGCCUGUAAUCCCAGUUCAGAGAAUUCAGGAUUCAGGAGAAUCGCCUGAAUUCGGGAGGUGGGGGUUGCAGUGAGCGGAGAUCGUGCCAUCGGACUCCAGCCUGGGCAACAAGAGCAAAACUGCGUCUGAAAAAGAAAAAAAAUGUGUGGGAACCACUGCUUUGGGUGGUGACCUGUUUUCUUUUAUUGAAGUAGAAACACUAACCAUUAUGCAGAGUCCCUAGAGGAGUGGCCAUGGGGAUUUGGGGGCAGAGGAGGGCUUGGGGGACAUCAGUUACCCCGAGGAGCCUGAAAAGAAGAAAAACAGCCCACCUUACAUGGAUGCCUUUCUUGGAUCUUAGCCAGCUCAAGCCCCAGCUCAGGAAAACCUUCCCUGAGCUCCCUUUCAUCUGCUUGCAUAGCACUGACCUCUGCACUGCAAAUAGAUAUUCAUUUGUGUGAUUCUGUUUUCUCUUCUAAAAAUCCUAAUGGUAAAAACCAUAUCUGUUUUUGCUCAC
ensembl:lncRNA novel transcript